UCCCAGGUGGUCUAGUGGUUAGGAUUUGGCCCUUUCACCACUACGACCCAGGUUCAAUCCCUGGUCUGGGAA
rnacentral:tRNA from 1 species